GACGAACGCUGGCGGCGUGCCUAAUACAUGCCAGUUGAGCGCUGAAGGUUGGUACUUGUACCAACUGGAUGAGCAGCGAACGGGUGAGUAACGCGUGGGGAAUCUGCCUUUGAGCGGGGGACAACAUUUGGAAACGAAUGCUAAUACCGCAUAAAAACUUUAAACACAAGUUUUAAGUUUGAAAGAUGCAAUUGCAUCACUCAAAGAUGAUCCCGCGUUGUAUUAGCUAGUUGGUGAGGUAAAGGCUCACCAAGGCGAUGAUACAUAGCCGACCUGAGAGGGUGAUCGGCCACAUUGGGACUGAGACACGGCCCAAACUCCUACGGGAGGCAGCAGUAGGGAAUCUUCGGCAAUGGACGAAAGUCUGACCGAGCAACGCCGCGUGAGUGAAGAAGGUUUUCGGAUCGUAAAACUCUGUUGGUAGAGGAGAACGUUGGUGAGAGUGGAAAGCUCAUCAAGUGACGGUAACUACCCAGAAAGGGACGGCUAACUACGUG
rnacentral:rRNA from 1 species